rnacentral:rRNA from 1 species
UACGUAGGGGGCUAGCGUUGUCCGGAUUUAUUGGGCGUAAAGAGCGUGUAGGCGGCCAGGUAGGUCUGGUGUGAAAACUCGAGGCUUAACCUCGAGAUGUCAUCGGAAACCAUCUGGCUAGAGUCCGGAAGAGGAGAGUGGAAUUCCUGGUGUAGCGGUGAAAUGCGCAGAUAUCAGGAAGAACACCAAUGGCGAAAGCAGCUCUCUGGGACGGUACUGACGCUGAGACGCGAAAGCGUGGGGAGCAAAAGGG